UUUUAGUACGAAAGUGGGCUUAAAGCCCAAUUAUCUCUUUGAUUCUCUUUUUCGGUCCAACUGAGAAAAAGGGGGUCUCCACUUCCAUUGUUGUUGAGAUGUGAUGACUACACAGGAAAGGGUUUUCACCAGAGCAACCCUUUCCUUCCCUUUUUGCUCGGCAUCAACUUAGAGGCGGCGGCGUUAGCGUCAGGGUGGCAGCGAGUUUGCGGCUCAGGGAGGUGGAGACGCGAAUGAGGGUAACCGGCUUUGUCGCGGUGGCGCGAUGUUGAAAGUGGGGAAGCGUGAGGAAAGCAACAGCCUCAGAGCGGCGGCAGCGUCCGAUUAAAGGAGAACGACGGAGGCAAGGAGGAUGGUUCGUGGUCACAGGGAUCGUCGCAGCAGUGAUGGUUGACGAAGGCAGUGCUGACGGCGGAGAUCCGAAGGAGAAGCGUCGAGCUGGGUGGUGUCCGCGGUGGAGAAGAAUAUUGCGGUGGUGGCGGAUAAGGGUCGCACGACGAAGAGGGUGACUCGCGAUGGUGAUAUUAAACAAAGGGAAGGGUAUCCGCGGCCAAGGAUAGGCGGGAAUCAGGGCUCACAGUGACUUACGGCGGAGGUGUUGAUGGCUGUCACGGUGGAAGAGACGGUGAGAUUGGAAGAGCGGCGGUGAUGGUGGCUGCUAUGGCUGAGGUCGAAGACGCGACGGUGAAUAUGGGUUCGAUUGGAAUGUGACUGGCUCGCGGAGGCCAGACCGAAGAGAAGCCAAGGUCUCCUGCGGGUUGUGGUCACGCGAUGGCAGUGAUGAUGAGUGGGAAGCUGAGUGGCGGGGAAAGAUGAUGACGAGCUUAGAUGCGGUCCGUGGACAUCUUUCUUACCCAGGGAUAUGAAACAGUGGAAGAUUAAGUUCGGACAGCCUUCAUGUUGAAAGAAAUUGGGCUGGCAAGUCAUAAUGAGACUGUGAUGAAGUAGAUGGUUCGGUGUGAGGGUGACCGGCGACUACCGUGGUCGGUGAGGAGGACCAGUGACGACAGCAGUCAUGGUGGCAUAUGGGAGCUUUAUUGAUUGGAUUGAAGGAAGAAUAGGAAGAAAGUAGAAUUUGAUUUUGAUAUAUCUUUUCUGUAUUAGACAUUAGAUAUGCAGGGAUUGUGGUAUGAUAUCUAUGAUCAAUUACGAUGCAAA